GGGAAGGGCCCGGUCAACAGCGGCAGCAGCUAACGGAGCGCUGAGCGGAGCCCGGGGCCGGCGGGGGCCCAUUACUUGACUCUGUGACCAACAUGCAAUUUUCUGCACCAGAAAACAAGAAAGAAACAGCAGUUGUUAACAAAUAAGCCAUGCCUGCUGCAGCUGAUGUAACUGUGGGGGACCUGCCUGUGAGACAUACAGGUCUAACUCCAGCUGGAAUUGAAGGAUUACAAGAAUCAUCAACUGCACAGAAUAUAAAAGCUCAACAAGCUAGGUAACAAAUCAGUCAAGAGGAACUGGAGGACAGACUUCUUCAUGUAUAUGAUGGUCACAUCUUACUCAAGCAGCAUGCAAAUGAGCAGGAGGAGAAAGCUAAAAGAUCUCCAUGUACAGAGCUACAGCGCUGUCUGUUGCUUUGGAGCUGGUUUGGAGAUAUGCUGUCAGAGUGUUCUGGGAACUGGAGAAGAGGCUGUAGAAGCUUAAUGAUUCAUCAGGAAUUUCAUUCUAGAAUCAGAAGUAUCUAUACAGUGAGAUUCCACCCCUAUUAUUAAAUUUAGUGCUAUGUUGGCAAACCAGUGUGGGCUCAGCAGAGCUGUUCAUGGUAUUACUGCAUUGCAGGAGGGCUGAUUAAUCCAAAAGCACUGUGACUCUGUGCUCAUGUUGUGCUGUACUUAAUAAAGUCAUGCUGCAUCCAAGUAAGGUGUGGUCAGAAGCUAACAGAUUCAUAAAAGGGCAGCUGAAAAUAUUGCUUCUGUAGAUGGGACUAUGUCAUGACUUUUUCAAGUCCAAAGCAUUCUUUCCUUUUGACUCAAUAUUCAGUGAGUCAGGAACAAAUUGGCCAGCAUGACAUAACUUCCAUCUUUUCUGUCAGACUGUUGUCAAAUCCAAGAUGGUGGAACAAGUGAAUUCCUUGCUUAUUCCACAGGGCAUUUCCUGUGUUUCUGUUAGAUGCCUUACCAAAUGCACUCAUAAUCCACUUAAGUAGCAUUACACAGAAUGUCUAAAUUGGAAUACCUGAAUUAAUACUUUAUGGCACAGAAAAUUAAAAAUACGGUGUUUGCCAGAGAAAAAACUUCACUCGUCAAGUCAAAUUUCUUUUCCAGCAUUCCUCGCCAAAACCCUUUAAAUUAGAAGUUUGGGAUGGAUUUGCAGGAGAACAUUGAAAAAACUCCACGUAAACAAAAAACCUGCUUACAGGCAAGUAACAUUCUGUGACAUCCUGAAGUUAUUAGGGAUUUUUUUUGUUUCAGUUUUGUUCUUUUAAG